rnacentral:rRNA from 1 species
GGCUAGAGUUUGAUCAUGGCUCAGGAUGAACGCUGGCGGCGUGCCUAACACAUGCAAGUCGAGCGAUUUACUUCGGUAAAGAGCGGCGGACGGGUGAGUAACGCGUGGGUAACCUGCCCUGUACACACGGAUAACAUACCGAAAGGUAUGCUAAUACGAGAUAAUAUGCUUUUAUUGCAUGGUAGAAGUAUCAAAGCUUUUGCGGUACAGGAUGGACCCGCGUCUGAUUAGCUAGUUGGUAAGAUAACGGCUUACCAAGGCGACGAUCAGUAGCCGACCUGAGAGGGUGAUCGGCCACAUUGGAACUGAGACACGGUACAAACUCCUACGGGAGGCAGCAGUGGGGAAUAUUGCACAAUGGGCGAAAGCCUGAUGCAGCAACGCCGCGUGAGCGAUGAAGGCCUUCGGGUCGUAAAGCUCUGUCCUCAAGGAAGAUAAUGACGGUACUUGAGGAGGAAGCCCCGGCUAACUACGUGCCAGCAGCCGCGGUAUACGUAGGGGGCUAGCGUUAUCCGGAAUUACUGGGCGUAAAGGGUGCGUAGGUGGUUUCUUAAGUCAGAGGUGAAAGGCUAC